UGAGUGUUGCGAUUACAUGUGUGCACGC
rnacentral:piRNA from 1 species